CAGUAAUAGUUGCUUGCUUCAUCAUCCAUUAGAAUAUCUUCUAAGGCUUCAGAAGUAGUUGGAGGGUUGGAAAAUUCAGCCAGGCUGAUGAAAUUGUCAGGUUCUUGAUCUGUGCUUAAACACACCGGAGAUGCUGAGAUGAGAUCAGGUACUUCAUAAUCUGUGUCAUGUUAGAUGAUUCCCCAAAUUUGUUGCUAUUUAUAUCCAUCACAUUGUUGGUUUCCAUUGUGUUCUGGAAGACAGGUCGAAGUGCAUCUUUGAAGCUCGGUUGGCAUGUCAGAGCGUCAAACUCAGGUUUCUGAGUGAAUCUUUCCAACUGCAAUCCCAUCAUAUGGGAAUCCCAUGGAGGUCUGUUUGUGACUUGAGCUGAUCCCAGGCUAGGACUAAAAGUUUCCAUCGCGACAGGAGGCAAAACUGAAGUAGUACCAGUGUUCAACAACUGUAAAAUGUUACCUACCAGUAGAACUUUUGCGAGACGAGCAGCAUCCUCUUGAGAUCUCACAAUACCUUCCCAGGUAAGAUUUCUUGAACUAUUAUAGCUGAGAAGCUGAGGUAAUACAGGUAACAAGGUAUCAAGAUGAGUUCUUGGCAUAUGAGUAUCGGGGUCUAUCCCAUUCCGAAGCAGCUUUUUCUUCAGACGAGUAUUCCAGAAGUUCUUGAUCUCGUUAUCGGUUCUCCCUGGCAGGUAACUAGCUAUGACCGACCACCUGGAAACAUAAAAGGGUAAUAAUCAUCAAAUGCAUCAAAGGCUACAAGUUACAUAUUGAGGUUAGUUCAUUACUUGUUGCCUAGCUCUGCAUGAAGAUCGAUAAUGACCCUUUCUUCCUCGUCAGUAAAGGCUCCUCUCUUGAUAUCGGGGCGGAGAUAAUUUGUCCAACGCAGGCGGCAGCUCUUCCCGCACCUAUUGAGCCCCGCAAGCUUUGGCAGCUCUUUCCAGCUGCCAUGGCCGUGUUUCUGAAUGCAGUCAACGAGCAUCCGGUCUUCUUCAGGUGUCCACGGCCCUUUCUUUAAGCCAUUUUCUUCUGUCGUCAUUUCCAUCGUGUUGUGUGUGUGUCUUGAGCAAUUUUAGAUGAACAUGAGUCAGUUUUGUGUGAAAUGUGUGUGUUUAUAGCAUGGUUUUUAUAGUGUGGGAGUGUUUGAAAAUUUGGACAGUGGCGUGCUGUGGAGAGUCAUUGACUCUUGUUUCUUUGCUUUCUUCCUCUCUUUUUCUUCCUUCCUUCUCUAGGUAUCGAAAUAUCGAGCUGGGC
rnacentral:lncRNA from 1 species